AGCCGGCUGAGUAAAUGCCUGGGUAAAUCGUGUCGCUUAACGAUACGAAUUCCGGGUAGACUGCUUGGCUUGAGACCGGGAGAAGCUAGAGGUACUCCUGGGGUAGAGGUGAAAUUCUGUAAUCCUGGGGGGACCACCAGUGGCGAAGGCGUCUAGCUAGAACGGGUCUGACGGUGAGGGACGAAACCCUGGGGCGCGAACCGGAUUAGAUACCCGGGUAGUCCAGGGCGCAAACGCUGCUUGCUUGAUGUUAGCUGGGCUCCGAGCUCGGCUAGUGUCGGAGAGAAGUUGUUAAGCAAGCUGCCUGGGAAGUACGAUCGCAAGAUUGAAACUUAAAGGAAUUGGCGGGGGAGCACAGCAACGGGUGGAGCGUGCGGUUUAAUUGGAUUCAACGCCGGAAAACUCACCGGAGGCGACGGUUACAUGAAGGCCAGGCUGAUGACCUUGCCUGAUUUUCCGAGAGGUGGUGCAUGGCCGCCGUCAGUUCGUACCGUAAGGCGUUCUGUUAAGUCAGAUAACGAACGAGACCCUCAUCCUUAAUUGCUACUGAUAACUCUGGUUGUCAGGCACAUUAAGGAGACCGCUGACGAUAAGUCAGAGGAAGGCGAGGGCAACGGUAGGUCAGUAUGCCCUGAAUCCUCCGGGCUACACGCGCGCUACAAAGGCCAGGACAAUGGGUUUCGACACCGAAAGGUGAAGGUAAUCCCGAAACCUGGUCAUAGUUCGGAUUGAGGGCUGAAACUCGCCCUCAUGAAGCUGGAUUCCGUGGUAAUCGCGGAUCA
rnacentral:rRNA from 1 species